rnacentral:lncRNA from 1 species
GAUUGUGUAAGAUAUAAGUGAGCCAAAAAUUAAUGAGAAUUUCCUCAAUAAAAUUUAUAGUGGAAUCAGAGUAGAUAUCAUGUCACAAAUAGCCAAUUAGGAAAAUGCACAAAAAUAGAAUAUUAAUUCGGUGGCUAGUGGAAAGUUCAAUUGAACAAGGCUGCCCCUAUGGUAGCAGCCUGCUGUGCACCAUCUCUAGCCAACAGUCAUAUCGGUGAACUGCAACCCAUGCUUAGUGCAUAUUAGGAUGUGUGGGUUCUGCACAACACAAAGGUAUUUCUGCCCCUCACUUAUCACGUCCCCAUUUACUCUGGUUUCUGCCCCAACACCUUGAUAUUUCCUGGAAUGUCAUCAUGCCACAAAGAGCUAAAGCCCUGGGUGAUAGGUGCUACACCAUGCUGCCACUUGGUCUGAGCAACCUUGGCUGCUAUUUAAAUAAUCACGAUAAAUGGUUAAGUGGGCUCCUGAAGACCUUCUGUACGUAAUAACAACUAUACUGGUGAUAAUCAUAAUCUAUAUUAUGCGUCUUCAUAUUGAAAGGAUCAGAAUUUGACAUUUUAAAGAUCUUUCUCAUAUCUGACCAAGCUUCGAAUAGCAUAGACAAUUGAUUUGAGAUUAUAUUCCAAACAAGUGCAACUUUGUUCAAAAAUUCCUUGGCAGAAGUGAUGUUUUAGUAAAGGCAUUUUGCUAAUCUUCAACAGCCCUUACUUUAAGAUGCAAUAAUCUGAGUUCUUCAGACAUUUGUCAUAGACUUUUUUUCUUUUCUCCAAUGUUGCUUAAUUAAAGUUCAGUUGGUUCUUAUAUUCUCUUAGGUAACUACUUUUUCCAAUUUUUUGUAUUGACCUAUUUUUGUAUUGUUAUUAUAAAGCUUUUCAAGGGCUUGGAAGCUUUUGAUCGCAAACCUCCGGAGAAGUCAAUAGUUCAAAGAGUCGCAGAUGCAUAUGAGAUGUUAGGCUUACUUGAAGAGAAAGAAAGGGUACUUGAAAAAUACAAAGAUAUUCCUACCAAGACAGAUAAAGUUCAUAAGAAAUCUAAGCAGGCUUCAUCAAAAAGAAAGAAGAAUUCUGGUUAGACUUACUCUCUCUUUCGCUUUCGAUAACCACUUCCAGAGUAGAAUUUUGUAUUUGUAAGGUCAGUCUUUUGUGCACCUGGAACUUGACCUCGGACAGUAUAGCAAAGAGUUUACUGCUGAAUAUGAGAAACUUUUAUUCUUUUAUUUCUCAAGUUCAAUAUUCUGCUGUCUGGAUUUGAUGGGAGACUCCUAUAUGUAUGCAUGGUACGAUAGUAAUGUGUUUUCUUUGACCCUGCUGGUUUUGGUGGUUUCCAGGGCG